rnacentral:rRNA from 1 species
UACAGAGGGUGCGAGCGUUGUCCGGAAUCACUGGGCGUAAAGCGCACGUAGGCGGAUUGCUAAGUCAGGGGUGAAAUCCUGGAGCUCAACUCCAGAACUGCCCUUGAUACUGGCGGUCUCGAGUCCGGGAGAGGUGAGUGGAACUGCGAGUGUAGAGGUGAAAUUCGUAGAUAUUCGCAAGAACACCAGUGGCGAAGGCGGCUCACUGGCCCGGUACUGACGCUGAGGUGCGAAAGCGUGGGGAGCAAACAGG